GAGGAGGUGAAGCGGAAAGCAGUGUGGGGCAUUGGAACGAUUUCUUCUGUAGACGUUGUGCAGCAGUGUAUACAAGGAAGAAGGUCGGGUCAUGCCGGCCACCCAGUACAUGUUAUAGUCCAUCUCCAGGUCGUUCUCCUCAAAAGAGGACGCAGACCGCGGAGGCGUGUGGUCCGGCACAGAUCCUGCCACUACUGAAGGGAGAACCAAACCUGCGGCAGGAAACUGACUCCUCUUGCACUGGAAGACUCAAACUAGUGCAAGACUCAAAACUCAAUGCACCUUCCAUGGAGGAAUUGGAUCCUAACUCGCACUAGUCUGACCUGACAACACCAGGCAUCAUCCAAGGAGGGAGGACACCUGCCUCGCUGCGCUUUCCUUGAUCUUGAUAUUGAUACUAUAGGCGACUCGGGAUCACUCCUGAGCCGGGCCUUUGGAUCGGCAGCUCCUGUAGACGACAAAAAAAAAAAAAA